rnacentral:rRNA from 1 species
GUGUCAGCAGCCGCGGUAAUACGUAGGGACCGAGCGUUGUCCGGAAUCAUUGGGCGUAAAGAGCGUGUAGGCGGCCACUUAAGUCCUGCGUGAAAUCCUGCGGCUCAACCGCAGGCGGUCGUGGGAAACUGGGUGGCUAGAGUGCGGGAGAGGAGAGUGGAAUUCCUGGUGUAGCGGUGGAAUGCGCAGAUAUCAGGAAGAACACCCGUGGCGAAGGCGGCUCUCUGGAACGCAACUGACGCUGAGACGCGAAAGCGUGGGGAGCAAACAGGAUUAGAUACCCCUGUAGUCC